UUAGGGUUUAGGAUUUAGGGAUUAGGAUUUAGGGUUUAGGGUUUAGUGUUUUGCUGACGACUUGAAAAAUAUUUUUUUUUUACUUUUUUUUUUAAAACAAAAUAUAACUUGAUAAAAUUUUGUUUUCUUUUUUAAAAAGUAUCGAAUUUGAAAUAAUAAAAUCCUAUUGGUUGGUGAACCUAGAAGUUCACCAUACGGGAACGCGAACAAAGAAAAG
rnacentral:lncRNA from 1 species